CAGCUGCACCUUUUUUUAAUUUAUUUGACUUGACAUCAUAAAGAUUGUACUGAUACCGUGUUUGCUUUGAUUUCCAUUUAUAUUGGUCUUUUUAUUUGUGCAGUUUAUUGUCACUGUUAGUGAGGAUUGUACAUGUCGAAUUUGGGGAGUGGACGGUAAACAACUGCAUGUCAUUAAGGAGCACAUGUAAGUUAUGUUAUGAACAUGAAUUCUUGAUUGUCGAGUUAGAGUAUUAAUUGCUACUAUUUGUAAUUUACUGUGGUCCUAAUCAAACAAGCAUUGAAGAUUAUAUGGACUUUUGACAUUCUGUGAACUGAGUAUCUGCAGGGAACAACCAUCGGUAGUAUGUUAUCUUGAGUAACUUUGAAAUUGUGAUAAAAAGGUGCUAAUCAUAUAUUAACCCUUAAAAGACCUGACUCAAAAAAUAUCUCUUGCUUCACUUUAUUUUGAAAAUUGUCUUCUAUACGAGGUUUAAAAGUGAACCUAGAAAUUUCAUAGCCUGCAUUUUGGAUGUUCCUACAUACAGAUGUUCCAAUUCUGUCCUUUUUAAAAGUAAAAUUAAUUGGAUGUGUGAUACAAUGUUGCACAAGCAAUUUCUGUUUGCUUUGUAUCUUACAAUUCUAGCAUUCUACAACUCUGGUAACACAACUGCGUAGGUAUGUCUUCACAGCUUAUCCUUGAGGAAUCUACUGCUUCACAGGAGUCAUAAUCUGAGUAGUUGUUUUCUCUGUUAGACAGUACAUAUGUCCUUAUUGUCUCGUCUUUAAGAUUCUCAUAAUUUCACUUAUAAAAGGAAUCAGAGACAUGAUCAAAUAUUUGCAUUCUUUGCUGUAUACAGUGGAAGAGGUAUAUGGAGAUGUUUGUAUGACCCAAAUUCAUCACUGCUUAUAACUGCUGGGUUUGACUCUGCUAUUAAAGUACAUCAACCUCAUACAUCUCUGCCCAUGGGCUUGGAAGCAGUACAAGGAUCCCCUAGUAGAACAGAGUUGUUUUCGAUUUGCAUCCCUAAUGUGUCAGAGCAUAUUGGAUUUAUAGACAGGUUGGGCUAUUAAAAUAUUAUGAACUCACUUGGGGCUUCUUACUAACUUUACAAAAUUUGGAGCUGAUUUUGUUGUGUUUGUCUAUUAUUGUGUAUGCUGAUUUCCAUGUUGACUGGCCUUGCCUCCUUUUUUGUUGUAGCAAGAGUGAAUAUGUUCGAUGUUUGCGCUUUUCCUGUCAGGAUUCUCUUUAUGUUGCUACCAAUCAUGGUUAUCUCUACCAUGCUAAAUUAUGCGAUACUGGAGGUGCUCAGUGGAAUCAACUUGUCCAGGUCAGCAAUGGGGCACCAAUUAUCUGUAUGGAUUUAUUGUCCAAGGACUCUGUUGAACAUGACUGUGGUGCUGAUGAUUGGAUUGCUAUUGGAGAUGGUAAAGGAAAUAUGACAAUUAUUGAAGUUGCCAAGGAUGAUUGCACUCCUACAGUGAGAUUGUGCUUUACUUGGCCAGCUGAAAUGGAGAGACAGCUCCUGGGUACUUAUUGGUGCAAAUCUCUGGGAUGUAGGUAAUGCAUUUCUUAAAUCAUGCUUAGAUACGCAAUACCUGUUGAUAAGGUGUGAAUCCAUCCUUUGGUACUCUUCGAUGAGUGUCCUUCCUGGCAUUCUUAUUAAAAUGAGUGUAAUUAUAGAAAAAAAUAUACUCCACACCAUUAUGAAACUUUAGUCAGGGAAGAGAAUUGCACUUGUUGCUAAUGUAGUUCAAGUUGUCCCUCUUUGGUUGACAGGUCAUAAGUUCAAGUUUGUACUGUGUUAAGCAUACUUAUCUUGUAGUCUCAUCUCACCAUAUAUAUCACACUGUACUAUCAAAUGGGAGAUCCUAAUAUAUUACACCCUUCUUUAGCUUCUCCUUCCAUUUCUUAAACUUUUUUUUAUUUGAUUUUUAUUUAAUUUUUUUCUAUAUAAUAAAGUAUUAUGAUUCUCUGGUGACACAACUGUGUAGGUAUGUUUUCACAGCUGAUCCUAGAGGAACAUUGAAACUCUGGAGAUUGCCUGAUCCUUCACAAUCUGAUCUUCAGAGCUCCAUGAGGAGUAACAAUUUAUCACAUAUAGCAGAGUUCGUAUCAAAUUAUGGAAUGCGGAUAAUGUGUUUGGAUGCAUGCAUGGAGGAAGAGGUAUUCUUCUAUCCUUGAAUUAGGAUCUUCUCAAUUUUUUGGUCAUGUUAUGAGAGAGGCAUAGAAUAGUUAUAGCAUAACCCACCAUUGUGUAGGCUUCAUAAUUUUGCUAGUGGCUCUCUCUCAUAACAUGACAAAUUCAUGAACUUGCUAGCAUGAAAGAUCCAGAUCCACCUAUCCAUAUCCUACAUUUUAGCAGUUUAUUCUUUUUGGGGGUGAGUAGAUUAAAUUUUAAUGUGUUCAUUGUUGCUUAAUUAUUCUGUGGAAGACUAUAAGAUACUUGAUAGAAUCUGAUUUUAUAAUACAACUAAAAUAUCAUUUCAAUUUUUUUUUCGUAGAAAUGGACCUUAAUUUGAGAUUAUUCGAUAAUUAAUCAUGUGGAACAGAGGCAUGGGAUGUUUUUCAUUUUGAAUUUUAAAAUAUUAUGAUAUGAACAUACUAGUUUGCAAAUUAAAAAUGGAAAUUUAUCUUGAAUCCGAAUGGCAGGUCCUAGCAUGUGGAGAUGUACGGGGUAAUAUGGUUCUGUUCCCUUUUCUAAAGAAUCUGGUCCUGAGCAUAUCUGAUGCAGAAGAAAGGAAGAUAGCUCCAGUAAAUAAUUUCAAAGGAGUUCAUGGGAUUUCAAGUGUCUCCAGUGUUUCUGUGACUAAGCUUGGUUAUAAUCAGAUAGAGAUACGCUCAGUAUGUUCAACUUUUCACCCUUUAGAUAUAGUGACCUGUUGAUCCACAUUUAAAGCAUUUGCCAAAUAUAAUAUUGAGAGAACUCUUAAUAUUCUAACCUGCAAGUGCAGUGUGGUCAAUCUUGAUUCCAAUUGUUGAUUUGUAUUCUUGUUCAGACUGGAGCAGAUGGUUGUAUAUGCUAUCUGGAAUAUGAUAAAGAAAUGCAUAAUUUGCAAUUUACGGGAAUGAAACAAGUUAAAGAAUUGUCUUUGAUUGAGUAUGUUUCUGUGGAUAACAAGUCCGGUGAUAGAUUGUCAAGCAGCUAUGCAGCUGGUUUUGCAUCGGUGGAUUUCAUAGUAUGGAACUUAGUGAAUGAGAAUAAGGUACUUUGACAAUCUUUUCCUUUUACUCUACUUAGUUAAUAUUUUACAUUCACUUCUAUGUUGCUGCAUACCAUUAGCACCUGUUAUAGAUUGGAUGAUAACAAAUGGUAGUAACAGGUGGUGAACAUUCCAUGCGGUGGAUGGCGACGUCCUCAUUCCUAUUAUCUAGGUGAUUUACCAGAGAUGAAGAACUGUUUUGCCUUUGUCAAGGUUUGCUUUCUGCUUUGAACACUUAAUUAUUAAAUCAGGAAGCAUUUAGCAUUUCCUUAAGCUUUAUCUGUCCUAAAGUACAUUUACACCUGCUCAUUAGUUAUUCAAUCCUGCUGCUCAAGCUCAAAGUAGUUAUCAUUAGUGUUUAUUUCUAUUUAAGAUCAUUUAAUGAACAGAACUUGUAGAUGCGUUCUUGAGAUUUCAGAAUUUUCCCAAUCAUGUCUAAGGGUAUCUGAAAGGAACUUUUGAUCAUCUUUGUUUGGCUUCGCUAUGUUAAGAAGUUCUAAACCUUGUGUUUUCUGUAAGAACAGGGGUGAUUUAUAUAUAUUGAGAAAAAGAAAUUAGUUAGAUAAAUAGAGGAGAUUUCAUAUCCUCUGAUAAAUAAGAUAUGAUCAUAGAAUAAUACGGACAUGAUCUUGAUAUUUUUUACUAUAAAGAUAAAGAGAAGCAUUAUACAAAACCGUGAGUUUUGUAAUAACAUGGGUGAUUUAUUUAUAUUGAGAAAAAAAAAUCAAUUAGAUAAAUAGAGGAGAUUUUAUAUCCUCUAAUAAUAAAGAUAUCAUCAUAGAAUAAUACAAUAUGAUCUUGAUAUCUUUUAUAAUAAAGAUAUUAUAACAAUAGGAUCUUUUUAUAUAUAAUUGUAAAGAUAUGAUAUCCUUAUUUUUGUAAUAAUAACAAUUACCAUCUUGGAAUGUUGGUUUGGAUUUAACUUAAUCUUUCAAAAUGAACUUGUAAGGUGAGCUUUGAAUCUCACUUAUAUAUUCUAUUUUAGCCAUAUCACUGGUCAUCACCCUUAAUGUUGCAAUAAGACAACUUCCUAAGGUGGGUUAGGGGUGACUGCAAUCAAAGAGACUUUUUAAUAGUUUGGGAUAGUUGUGAAAUUAAAUUAUUUUAAUAAUCAAUUAUAAUCAGAAUUAAUUUUCUCUUGAGUAAGUUUAUUGAUAAAUGGUUUUAAGAUAAUUAAUUUUGUUUGGAUGUAACAAAGAUAUCGACUUUUACAUAAAAAAGAGCAUAUAUGAAGUUGAAAGGGAAAAAAAUUGUUCAGAAAUAAUUAUAAGCUACAUUUUCAGACUCAUAAAAUCAGGUUAUUUUUUAAGAAAAAACCUUAAUAAAUUUCAGCUACUGUCCCAAAUAUUUAGCUGAAAUUUAAUCUUAGAAACAGCUGAAAUCCUUGAAGUUAAUAUUUUCAAAACAUAUUAGCACAUUUUUAAGCUUGUUCUGCUGUCACUUUAUUAGCUAGUAAGCCUAUUUUGUCCUAGAUGAUUGAUUUCUGUUAUCACAAUUUUUUUCUGAAAUACCUAACAAAUAUGGCCAAUUGUUACAGGACGAAUUGAUACAUAUACAUAGACACUGGAUUCAUAAUAAAGAUGGGAAGGUAUACCCUCAAAAUUUGCACAUGCAGUUCCAUGGUAGAGAGAUACAUUCCUUGUGCUUUAUCUCUGAUGAUGUGCUUAUUGGAGAUAAUUUCAAGUGCACCUUAUUUUCUAAAUCAAGUUGGAUUGUAACUGGAUGUGAGGAUGGAACUGUGAGGUUGACUUGGUAAGACCAUUGUUGUCUGCUGUCUGUAGAUCUUGCUUGAAUGCUUUACACCUAACCUGUCUGUUUUAUUUAGGUACUCUCCAGGCACUGAAAACUGGUCCAUGUCAAAACUGCUUGGAGAACAUGUUGGAGGAUCAGCGGUGAGAUCAAUUUGUUGUGUGUCGAAAGUACACACAAUCUCAUCAGAUAUGGGUGAUGCAGCUGAUGAGAGGAUUGAACUGAAUGCUGCUGUUCAGAACAAAGAUAAUCCAACAUUACUUAUAUCUGUGGGUGCAAAGCGUGUCUUAACUUCUUGGAUAUUAAAAAAUAGGAGGCUGGACUUAGAAAAUGACUUCCUAAUCAAUCAUCAAUACAAAUCAGAAGGAGUUGAUGACUGUUUUUUGUCAAGUUUGUCCUCAUCAAUGACGUUCCAGUGGCUUUCCACUGAUAUGCCAGCCAAACAUUCAAUUACACAUAAUACUUCCAAAAUUAAUUUGGAGAAGAGAGUUGGUGUUGCUGAAAAUGUUUCUCAUACAAAUAAUGAUGCUGGGAUGAUUUCUGAGAGUGGAAUGGCAAAUUUGAUCAAAGAUAAACAUGAAGAUGACUGGAGAUAUCUUGCAGUCACGGCUUUUCUUGUUAGAUAUUCUGGUUCCAGGUGAGAAAAGAUGCCCAAUAUUUCCUUUCUCGAUCAUGUAUUUGGUUCAAGUCUAACUACUUUCAUGCAAAAACAGAAAAACUGAAUCUAACCUUCCACUUUGUGUACGUUUCAGGAUAACUUUCUGUUUUGUUGUCAUUGCAUGUUCAGAUGCUACACUUAUGCUACGGGCUUUAAUUUUACCCUUUCGCUUGUGGUAUUUUCAUUUAAUCCUAUCAAAUUCUAUGAUAUUUUUUUCUCUGCUUUUCUUAUUUUUGUUGCUACAUUUCACAUGCAUCUUUCUCUUUCACCUUUUCUUUUAUAAGCUUUUCCCUUUUACCUGAUGGCAGGUUUGAUGUCGCUGUACUGGUUCCUUCUCUGGCACCAGUUUUGUCAUUGCAGCAUAUCAUAUUUCCCGUGUGUAGGCCUUGUAAAGGUUUGUAUUACAUCACAGUGAUUCCUGGCUAGAGUUCUUCUGUACCUCCCAAUUCCUUCCUUUCACGUGGAUGUGAUAUUUUUAUUACAUUAGCACAAAUUAUUCUAACUUUGUCUCUUCAAAAGUUAAUAGGGUUUUGUUGCAUGAUAAUCAAAAUUAAUGGUGAAAAACUUAAUUCACAAUGUACUGGCAUUGAGAAAAACCAAGUUCAAAGAUGAAAUUGUCUCAAUGUUGGGUUUAAUUUGUGAUCCUGGGACUUCUUUUAAUAGUCCAAAGGCCAUUAUAGAGUAUAGUUACAUGUGUUGUGAUAAUAUUUAUGACUAAUUAAUUUGGCACUCGGUGGUUAGGAUAUUUCAGCAAUUUUCUUGUUCCCAGGUAAUUGGGUGUGUUUGGGAAGUCAGCUGAUUAUAUAUAGGUAUUGGUGGGUUUUCUUUUAGCACAUAAGUUUUCUUAUUGGUUGUUAGUAGAUUGAAGUCUUAAGCUUAUGAAGCUUUGAUUUAUUAUAUCUUGUGUACAAGUUAUAGGAAGCCUAGUCAUAGGUUUGUAAUACUAUCAAUAAAUUAUCAGUUUUUUGCUUUUUGGAUGUGCUUUUCCCUUUUGUAGAAUGCCCCAACUACAAGCACACCCUGUUUGAAAUGAUAAAUUUGUCAUGUAAUGACAUCAUUAUAAUUUUAUGGGCUGUUGCUCAUAUUUUUGUGUAACACCUGUUUCCUGUAUAAAUUUGAUUCAUCUUAUGUCUGAACAUUUUUUGCAGAAAACAUCCAAGCUGGAAAUGUUUAUAUUGUGAUUAGUGGGUCUACUGAUGGCAGUGUUGCUUUUUGGGACCUAACUGACAGUGUCGAAGCUUUUAUGCGGCGGGUUUCAGUUUGUAAUGUUGAAAUGCUUUUUGAUUGUCAAAAACGACCACGCACAGGGAGAGGAAGUCAGGGUGGUAGACAGUGGAGAUCCCUAAGCAGAGACUUGUCAAAGAAAAAACAAGACAGCAGUCUGGUCACUUUGAAAGCCAAAGAGAAGACCCCUUACGUGCCAAGUGAUUCUGAAGACAGCAAGAUGGAUUGUUCUCAAUCCUCACAUAUGGCUUCCCCGGAGUUAGAAAGCAAGACUGAUGAUUCCUCGAUGGAAAUAUGUGAAAUACAGCCUCUAUGCCUUUUGCGAAAGAUUCACCAAUCUGGUGUCAACUGUCUCCAUGUUUCAGAGAUAAAGAGUGGGCAAAAUACUGACAGUUGUCAAAUGUACAGCAUAGUUAGUGGGGGUGAUGAUCAAGCACUUAAUCAUCUAGUGGUUGAAUUAUCACCUAAAUCUAUAAAUUUGAAUCAUGGGAUUUUGAGCCCAGAGAUCACUCGUAUUGUCUCUGUGUCUGAAUAUGGAAAGGACUUCAAUUUUCAAAAUCCGAGCAAGAAAUUUAAGAUUAGAUUCUUAAAUAACGAAAAACUACCCUCUGCCCACAGCUCUUCUGUCAAAGGUAAAGAAGCUGUGUAAUUAUACUCUCUCUAUUCCCAUGUUUUGUUUGCUUCAGUUAUAAAGAAUAGUGGAGGCAUAGGCUUUCAUUGUUUGAUUCAAUAAUCAUCUUUUCCCCUAAAAGAUAUUAGCUACUUCAUGUAACACCCAUCUUAGAAUGUUGAGUUAAGCGUAUCCCCAUAUAAUUGUUUUAGUUUACUAUACAAGAAAUAGAUUUGUCUGGUAGAUUUGCCAAAAGAUUGCAUCUCGUUUGGUAAAUAUUAACAUACUUGCGAUCCUUGAAAACUAUAUAUCGAGUUUUGAAUCACUUAAUUAAAUUGAAGCUAAUAUCUGAAAAUGCAUCAUAAUCAGCCUUUAUUUUAUGAAGGUGUCUGGACAGACGGAUCUUGGGUGUUUUCCACUGGACUUGAUCAACGGGUCAGAUGCUGGCAUCUUCAGCAGACCAAACUCAUAGAACAUUCAUAUCUAAUAGUUAGUGUUCCGGAGCCAGAAGCGUUAUCUGCUAGGGCCUGUGGCAGGUGAUUGUUAUAUAUGGUUGGAUGAUCAGGUUAGGUUAUAUAUUUUGUUUGUCUGACUCCUGUCUUUUGCAGGAACCAAUAUCAAAUUGCUGUUGCUGGAAGAGGGAUGCAAAUAAUUGAUUUUUCUGAAUCUUGAAACAAGAUUGAUGACUGGCUUGGAGAGUAAAGUGAUUUUUGUUGUGUUUUUUUAAUUUAUACGUCCAAAUAGUUUAUGGGGAGUGCAAUGUUGCCAACCUCGUUCAAAUGAACCGAAUCCUGAUGGUAAAUUCUCCAGUGUUGGCAGACUGGUUACUCCAUCCACCUGAAAAGUGAAUUAUAUUCGUACCAAGUAUGGCUAUUGAUUUUUGUGUGCUCACCCUCAUCAGGACAUCUCCCCAACUAACAGUGCAGUCUGUCAGGUUAAAUUUCUGCUUUUAGCCAAGGGACCAUUAUCAGUAACAUUGGAUUUAUGCCCUUCUCAUAACAACCCCCUCCGUCUAUGAGCUUAGGUUCUGCAAAUGUCUCUGUAUCGAGGUCCAAGGAUCGAAGUUGUAACCUGGAUACAUGGGGGAGAACCAGUCAAGGGUUAAGCAGACUGACCAACAAUGACUCAAGUUGCACGUAUGGUUUGCUCAUUGCACUAGACAUUGAAGUUGGGUUUUCAAUGUGAUGAAUUGGUCUCACUAACUUUUGAACCUCGUUCUUGCCGAGGAAAUUAGUAAUAGCAAGGCGAUUGCUUCUGCCCCUUCCGGUGGAACUUGCAUCGUUUAAUAGAUUGCUAGUAGUUUUCCCCGUGAGCUCUCGUUAAGCUUCUAGAAAAGAUGGUUUUCCAAAACAUAAUUUAGGAAUAUUAGCAAUCAGUUUUGUAAUUUCACUAGUGAUGCUUGGGGAACCAAGGAAUUUUUCAUGGAGAAAAUGAUUCCUCUGGUUCUCAUUCCGAACACUCCUCGCCAUAAUUUAACUAUCAAUUUAGAUCGAUGCCCGUGUAAUGUGUCUUAUAAAUGCAUUUUCAAUGUUGUAGCCGAUAGACUGAAGUAUUUCCUAAAUGAGUUCGUCUCUCAUUGCCAGGCUACCUUGGUUCUUCGCAGGAAUAUCAUCGUGAAAACAUCAUCAUUGCGCUUGAGCUAGUGCACUUCAUGGAGGAUGAACGCAAUUAAAUCUAGUGAAAUAGAUUCAAAAAGCAUAUGAUCGAAUCUCUAAACCCCUUAUUCAUGAUUGUUUGGAGGAGCCAAAGUUCCCCAUGCGUGGGAAAUAUUAUUAUGGCCUCCGUAUUUUAUUUUUCUUUUUAACGAUUUUCAUGAGGAAAUUCUCAUCUGAUUCAUGAUGCUGUGCACGAAAAUCUGCCAAAACCUACUCAUUAUGUUUGUUGACAAUAUCCUUAUUUUGAGAAAAACUUCGACUCAACAAUUGGAAGUUAUCUUAAAUCUUAAACUAUCCAUGGGCACUGUGUUCCGCGUAAGAUCAGAAGUUAAAGAAAACAGAAUAUCACCAUGUAAUUUUUUUUCAGGAAUGUUAAACUGGAGAAUUAAUACCUCAUCACUCAAAAAGUGGAUUCUUGAUGGCUGCAUGUAUUCUCCUGGACCACUCCCUUGUCUUGAAGAAAUGAAAAAGGAAACGUCAGAAGCACCCUUCCGAAGUUGGAGAAGUAGCUUGUUAGAUGAAAAAGACAAAUGGUUGGUAGAGUCAUUUUAAUUUUCAGCUGAAACACUCCAAGAAAGUUCUUGUUGGAAUUUCCAAUGAAAUUGGAAAAAGGUAAGAAGCAAAGAACCAAUUAUGUAGAGCACAUAAGAAAACUACUCAUAAUCACUGACUAUGCAAGUGAAAUAAUGGAAAGAACCAAGAGCAUGUCUGCUGAUCAUAGGGGAUUUCCUGGCUCCCUUUCUUAGAACAGGUGGGACAUUUUCUGCAUGGCAACAUUUUUGUUAUAAUAUUUGGUCUUAAUGCCUUCUUGGUCAAAGGAUGUUGAGCUUGCCUAUAUCCUUGACAUUUGGAAACACAUUAUGGAAACGACUAUUCUAUUAUUACCAGUAUUUUUCAGCAAUCACACUUUCACAGGAUCUCUCAAAGCAGAAAAAUAUCAUUAAGACAUGUAUAAAGUGAUUAGCCAAGAAUUGGAGUACUAAAGUAAGUUAAGAUUAUGAUAUUUAGAUUAAAUUAAAAAUGUUUUUAUUUAGUAUCUUUAAAAAAAAGUGAUGUUAUUUUAUUUCUGAUGUGAUGUAUGUAGAGAUACAUCAUAGUUUUAAUUUAACGUGUAGAGGAAUUAAAUAUUUUUUUUAAUCUUUACUCCACGUCUAGCCAUACAUCCCAUGUGGAUAUCACACGCGAAGAUUUGAAAAAAAAGACUAGUGUUUAAAAGGGGAAAAUGUUGAAGAUGGCAUCACUCAGCCAAGGAUUAAAAACGAAGCACUCGAACCAUAUUUUGCGACAGCUUUUUAUAAUUAUUGUUUACCAAAUUCAUGUCAUUUUAUACAUAGAAUAAAACAUACUAGAUAUUAAUAAUUGUUUUUAACAAUAAUAAUAUCUACCAUAAGAAAAUAAUUAGUACACCAUAAGAAAAUGGGCACAAGUUGUGUGUGAUGGGUGGUCGCUGGCAUGUUGCACGUUACCACAUUUAUGGUUUUGAGAUCCAUCCAGAAUAUCAGAUCUACACCUUUGCGUUGAAAAAGAGUAAGUUGGCAGCACUAACACACCUUCACAUGCGGAAACAAAUGGGACUCUCUAUCUCUGUCCACAGAAUGUAAAGUUCAUUCCUUCACUUCUUCUUAUAUUUUUCUUUUUCUUUUUCUUCUCCACUUUUGUUCUCUCCAUCUUUAAGUAUAAGAAGAGACAUCAUUACAUAUGUACAUUAAAUAUAUGUAAUUAUUUAUAAUUUGUAAUUUGGAGAAUUAAUUCUUCUUCUUCCAUUAUGUUUUUUUAUUUAGGUUUCAAUUCUAAUAUAUUUGUAAAAUAUUUUUCGAUACUUAAGUAAGUAUUAAAUAUUUGCGUGUUGUUGAUAUUGUAAUAAAGAUAUAAUUUAUUAUGUCUAAUGUGUUUAUUUAUAUAAUUUGUAAUAGACUCUAUUAUUAAUAUGUAUUAUAAUCAUAAAAAUUGAAUGAUCUGAUUUAUCCGUAUCCUUAUUAUCUUAAGGUUUUUACACUAGUCGGAUACUAAAUGUUACUUGUUUGAUUUCGAUGAUGUAUUUAGUAUAAAUAACGUAUAUUAGGGUGGUAAAACUUUUCACUACAUACUUAUAACUUGAAUUCCAUAUUAAUAAUACUGAAAUUAAACACAAUUUUUGCAUAUAUUAAUCUGCAUGUUUGAUUGCAAAUGGAAAAAGAAUUACGAUGAGUACCUAUUGUUUGUUAAAGAAGAGCAAUACCCAUUGACGUUCCUUUUAUUCUCUCUCGUUCUUUUUGGCUGUGUUGGAGUGGAGAGUAGAGAGCAGCACGUGGUCUGUUCUUUACCCAUGAAAGAAAGGAAUAUAAAAUGAAGAUUAAAAUUAAUGAUUGUGAUUGCGCAUUACUAUUCAAAAAACGUGACGUUGGUUUUGCUCUGAUUGAUACAGAGAAAUGGUGUCACACUGAAAAUGGUGAUACUUUUGAAUAUGAUAAACGAUAUGAGUCUUACUUAAAUGUUGUUGGUUGGUCGCCAAACCAACCACUUUUCAAAUAAUUAACAACCACAUAGGAUUAUGGUUUUUCCACUUGCAUAAAUGUGUCGGUUGUUUAAGUUAAGAUUAUUUCAAAGCUUUCUCAUUUUUUCUUCUUCUUCAGAAAUUGAUGAAAUACCAAAAAAUGUUAUAUGUGCUUUCUUGCCCAACUUUCAUCCCUAUAUGUGUGGGUUUGUGUUUUAGAUAUUUUAUUUUGAGGUUUCUACUAUGAAAAAUUAUAACAGUCAAAUUUUAUUAUUUUCAUAAAUAUGAAACUGAAAAAAUGUUUCUCUUCUAUUUACUUUAUAAAAAAUAACAUUUUCCAGCAAACAAGAUUUUCGGGAAAUUAAUUUUAGUUAAGAUUUCUAUUAAAAUAUCCCAUGGGGCAAUGGAGGUGGAAGACUAACUUUUUUUCAUUUAAAAUAAAUCUUUUCCUAAAACAAUACUAUGCUAUUUUUAUUGAAUCGUGUAAUAUGGUAAAUUAAAUAUUUUAGUAAAAAAAAUACAUGAUAUUUUUUAUUUGGCUAAAAGUUAUAUAAAUAUUAAGUACACCAACCACGUAUUAAUUCGCCGUUCCUAAGAAUCAUAAUUCCUAAUAUUAAUCAUAAAUUUGGUGUAUGAAAGAAGAAACUUGGCUAAAUUGAGUUAGUCGUUUAGAAUUCAACCCGUAAUAAUACAAGACUACUUAUAGGUAACAAAAUAAUAAAAGAAAAAAAAUCAUUAAGUUUUAUACCUUAAAAUAAAAAUGACAAAUAAACUUGUAUUCAUUAAUAUUAAUAAGAUAUUAAAUAAAUAUUUUUAAUAAAUAUUUAAUACAAAUAUUUUAAUCGAUUUCUUGGUAUAAUUAAUAAAUAUAAGUAUAUGGUGUAUUGUUGGUUGUUGAGUGAUAGGAUAAUAGAUGGUCUUUCAGUUAACUUAAGUUUAAACAUAAUCUUUGAACAUUCAUUUAAUCAAUGUUAAGUCAGUAUUAAGGUAUAAUUGAAUCUUUUUAUGAACCCAAUAAACGAGUCUAUGACAAUAAGGAUCUAACCAAAAUGUAUAAAUAGCAGAAACAGUAAAACACGGUCAAAUAAAUUUUUUCUCAACUCUAACCUUGACUUCCUUGUAAGAAGAUAUGAUAUUUAAUACAUAAAUAUAUAAUAUCCGUUACAUUUUAAAAAAUGAACUUUAUUCCUUUUUUAAAAUUAAAAAUUCAAAUGAUGAAACUAAAAUCUGUUGAAGAUCUCAAGUCAACUAGAAAUAAUGACAUUUCAUUAUAUAUAAAUGGGUGCAAAUCUCACCCUCAUGAGCCGAUUUUAUGAGGUUGAGUUAGACUUAGUCCACUUUGUAAUAUGGUAUCAAAGUCUUUGUUGGGUUUAUCAGGUCACCUCAUCUAACACGUUCACAUCCUACACAAAGGAAGUUGGGUGGAAGGGAAAAAAUUGUUACUUAUAAUUAUUAUUCACGAAAAUCAGAAAUUUUGGGAAUUACUUUUCUUAAUAAUAAAAUAAAGUUCCUUUUGUAAGUGAAAAAAAUCACAUAUAAUUUUUAAAGAUAAAUUUCUUUUUUAUAAAAAAACUUAAUUUAACUUUAAUAACUUAAAAAAAUAGCAUAAUAUUUAUUAGUUUAAAAAUUGUUUUAACUCAUGUAGGAAACUUGACCAAAUAUUAUUCCUGGAAAACUUUAUUUCCAGAAAAAUGUCUAUUUUUUAAAAAAGUAAAUCAAACAUAGAAACCUAUUUCUUGAUCCAUAUUUUCACGAACUAAACAUUUUUCUUCUAUUAAACUAAACGUUUUCAAAAAAAAUCAGAAAAAUAUAUGAUCGAAAAACACUAUAUAAGAAAGUCUUAAAAUAUCUAAGCAAAACACAUUAAUCACUCAUAAAUUGAUUUCUCAAUAUUUGUAUUUUAUAUUUUUUUGUUUUUCAUUAAUGUAAAACUAAUGAUUCAGAUAAUUCACGAAAUCAAGAUCAUUAUUGUUUUCAUUAUUAAUAUUUUUAUUGUGGUUUUUCUUUUAUGCACAGAUUGGUCACAAUUAUUUUCCCAGAUAUAAAAUAUUUUACCUAUACAACUUCAUUAUUUGAUUAUUUUAUGUAACUAUUAACUAAAACGAUUAAUAUUAAUGAAAGGACAUUCUCAAUUUCUUAUUCCGUUAAAAGCAUGAAAAAGAAAUCAAAAUGACAUCUAGGAAUUGAAAUGUUAUUUAUUAUAUUAUUAAAGAAAUUCAUUACGUAAAAUUACUGUACUGUCAUUAAUUAAAGAAAAUGCAUUCCAAAUAUAAAGUGAUAUUCGUAGUUAAAUCGAAAUAUUAUUUUCAAUAAAUAUAAAAAAAAACUUUAAAAUAUAUAUUUAUUAUAUAAAAGUGAAAACGUUAAAUAAAUUUAAUUACAUAUUAAAAAUAGAAUAAUUUUGCCUACAAUUAGAUGCAAAAGUUACAUUUUAUUAAGAGUAUUUUAAAUUUUACCAACGAUGAGGGUGGGAUCUACCUGUAUCCUACUGUGCUACCGACACUGACACGUUUUCGGUUAAGGUUUGUGAGUGACCGGCGGUAUUCGGUUGUAGACGCGCUCUCGCUGUAGCAAAUCGCAAUCUCACCGACCCUUUUGAUUUGGGUGUCAAAUCUAACGCCUCACCGCCAGUUCCGGUAUCCAGUCACAAGAGUGAGGCAUUGAUCACUAUAAAUAGCGAGACAACGUUCUUUCCCUUACCCUCAUAACAAUAUACCCAGUCACAGGCUGCUUGGUUCUGCACUGUGGUGACUCUGGUUUACUUCCACUCACUGAAUUUCUUUCUUCAAAACCUAUUAUUUCAUUCUUUGGAGGUUCGUUCAUCACGCUUAUCUUCUCUUCUAUUUUCCUACUUUUACUUUUCUUCUAUAACCUUGUUUUGCUUACAAUCCAUAAUUUAUAUAUGUUCCAUUUCCGCAACUGUAAGUAGUGUUUUAUUCGCAAUGUCUUGUACUUGACUAGACCCUUACGAUUAUGGAUCUGAAUUUUAUUUAUAUUAUUUUCCUUUUCUUCUAUGCUUUUCACUAUUGUAGUUUGAUUAUUUGAAAUGGUAUGGUAUUUCUGUUGAAUUUUCGUCUUUUGUUGUAUAGAUCUGACGUUUCACGAGAAUAAUAUGUUCUAGCUUAUUCUGUCUCUCUGUGUCUGUCUGGGUCUAGUUUUUGUGCCUCAUGUGAUACUGUUCAUUUAGUUUUUUCUUUGCCCUUUAGCGUUCUCUUAAUUUAAAAUGACUUCUUUGAGGGCUAAUUUUUCUUCUUUCAGAAAUCCAAGAUUCGUUUCAACUUGGUGGCCGCAAAUCUUUGUGUAUACUUUCUUAUCGUUUUGUCUGCAAUUGGUUUUUUAGGACCAUAAGUUUUUUCUGAAAGUAGAUCAGGAUGAACUAUUUUAAUCCUACUUGGCAUAAACUUUGGUGAUUUUCUAUCAAUUUGUUGUAGGGAUUUAUGCUUUAAUUUAUUUUCUUUGGACUAUGAUCUCGAAUCUCAGCUUCCAUUAUAGCACCGACAUAAAUUUUUUGCUCAAGCAUAUGUAGUUUGUAAGACUAAACAUUGUGUUUUCUGCAGCUUGAUAAAUGGCAACUGAAACCUUUCUAUUCACAUCUGAGUCCGUGAACGAGGGUCACCCCGACAAGCUGUGCGACCAGAUCUCUGAUGCAGUGCUCGACGCGUGCCUUGCACAAGACCCUGACAGCAAGGUUGCCUGCGAAACAUGCACCAAGACAAACAUGGUCAUGGUCUUUGGGGAGAUCACAACCAAGGCCGAAGUAGACUACGAGAAGAUUGUCCGUGAGACAUGCCGCAGCAUUGGCUUCAUCUCUGAUGAUGUUGGUCUUGAUGCUGACAAGUGCAAGGUGUUGGUCAACAUUGAGCAGCAGAGCCCUGAUAUCGCCCAGGGUGUGCACGGCCACUUCACCAAGCGCCCGGAGGAGGUUGGUGCUGGUGACCAGGGUCACAUGUUUGGCUAUGCCACUGACGAAACCCCUGAAUACAUGCCGCUCAGCCAUGUCCUUGCANNNNNNNNNNNNNNNNNNNNNNNNNNNNNNNNNNNNNNNNNNNNNNNNNNNNNNNNNNNNNNNNNNNNNNNNNNNNNNNNNNNNNNNNNNNNNNNNNNNNACCGAGGUUAGGAAAGAUGGUACCUGCGCUUGGUUGAGGCCAGAUGGUAAAACACAAGUAACUGUUGAGUACAACAAUGACAACGGUGCCAUGGUUCCAAUCCGUGUUCACACUGUUCUAAUUUCCACCCAACAUGAUGAGACUGUGAGCAAUGACCAAAUUGCUGCUGACCUUAAAGAGCAUGUUAUCAAGCCAGUCAUUCCCGAGAAGUACCUUGAUGAGAAGACCAUCUUCCACCUUAACCCAUCGGGUCGGUUCGUGAUUGGUGGCCCCCAUGGUGAUGCUGGUCUCACUGGAAGAAAGAUCAUCAUUGAUACCUACGGUGGCUGGGGUGCUCAUGGUGGUGGUGCCUUUUCAGGCAAGGACCCAACCAAGGUUGACAGAAGUGGUGCCUAUAUUGUGAGGCAGGCUGCAAAGAGCGUUGUGGCAAAUGGGUUUGCCAGAAGGUGCAUUGUCCAAGUUUCUUAUGCCAUCGGUGUCCCUGAGCCCUUGUCAGUCUUUGUUGACACCUAUGGAACCGGAAAGAUUCCUGAUAAGGAAAUUCUUCAGAUUGUGAAGGAGAAUUUCGACUUCAGACCUGGAAUGAUCACCAUUAACUUGGACCUCAAGAGGGGUGGCCACAGGUUCCUGAAGACAGCUGCUUAUGGACACUUCGGAAGGGAUGACCCUGACUUCACAUGGGAAGUGGUGAAGCCACUCAAGUCAGAGAAGCCUCGGGUCUAGGCUUAUGGUCAACUUAAUCCCUCCCUUCAAUAGAUGUCUUGCUAAGUAUUGAUGAAUAAUUUGCGUGUUUCAUUAGUACUACAAUCCUAGGUCUAAUGCCAUUUCCUUAUCAUACAAAAUUUGUUUUUUUACUUAACAUUUAUUUUUUUGUUCAUUCAAUAUUACUGUUUUGAUGCAAUUAAAUUUUAUCUGAAUCCCUAUUGAUUGUAAUUUGAAAGGGUGAAAAAGCCCUCUGCAACGUAUUUUAUAUUUCACAAAAUUGAAAUAUUCCCUCUCAAGCUGUCUCUCUCUACUUGGUUCUGAUUCGUCUCUCUUCCUCUCUCGGAUCUCUGCAUGUCUUCUCAAAUUAGAUAAAGGGUUUGAUUCUUCAGUUUGUGUUUCGGCUUUUGAUUUUUUUAUUUUAUUUGUCCGAUUUGAUUAUGGAAUUUGCCAAUGUUGUUCUAAAAUUGUAGUAAUCAGGAUUUGGAUGGUGUUUCAAUGAUAUUUGUUUGGAGCCGAAUAAUCUGGCAAGCAAAUUUAAAAAACUGAAUGAUAUUGCUUUCUGUUACAAUCGAAGUAAGAGCAAAAUAUGUAAAUGUUUUCUCUGAAGAAAAAAUUGAAAUUGCACAAGUAGAUCAAAUAUUUUCUUGACAUAUUUUUAUCCACACAUUAAGAACCCAAUCUUGUCCAUGUGCUUUGAUGCAUUUUGAAUUUAAUUAACGUUGCAUGUUUUUCAAACCCAAAUAAAUUAUUGGUUGUAAUAAAGUUUACAGUGUCCUUUCUCUAAAAAAACACAAUUAUUAUACCAUAACAAAAUCGUGACAAGUUGUGUGAUGAUAGCAUGUUGCACGUUACCACAUUUAUGGUAGAUCCAUCCAGAAUAUCAGAUCUGCACCUUUGCGUUGAAAAAUAGUAAGUUGGAAGCACUAACACACCUUAAACGCGGAAACAAAUCAGACUUCAAUAAUAAUAUAUUGAAAAGAUUAGAGAGGCAUGUGGCCCAAUUCUUUACCGAUGAAAGGAAUGUGUACAUAUCCUAAUUACCACUACUCAUACAUUCAUUCAGAUAAUACUCCUAAUUACGAUAAUUAUUCAAUAUUUCUUAUUAAUAGUUUGAGUCCAACUUUUAAAUAAGUGAUGACUUUUUCCGUAAUGGGCACACAAGUGAUGACUUUUUCCGUAAUGGGCACACUAAAUUCUAUCUCAUCUCAUACUCUUAAUUCUUUUAUUAUGUUUUUUUUAACUUAAACAUAAAAAAUGUAUUUAGUUAGAGACUGAUUGAAAGUUUGUUUAUCAAAGAAUAUCUUGGCAUUGUUGAAUUAUAUUUUUCUGUUUUAUUUUUAUAAAUGAAGAUUAAUGAUUGUGAUAUGAAGCUCGAACACUUCUCUUAAAUAGCGUAUCGGUGUCAGAUAUUCGUAUUGACACCGAAAUUCAUAUGAUACUUUUAAGACACGUAUCCGUGAAAUGUCUAAUUCAAAAAGUAUUUAUUGAAUUUUUAACAAUUCUAAUACGAUUUUAACACAAUUUUAAAAAGAAAAAAUACAUUAAUUUUUGAAAGACUCAAACUUAUUGUAUAAUUUUUUAUUAUAAUUAUAAAAAUAAGAAAUAAAUUAUUUUGAACCAAUAAUGAAAAAUAUCUUUUUAUUUUAAAAUAUAAUUUGAAAUAUACUUGUGUACAUAAAUCUUUAUUUUCAAUUUAUAUAAUUAAUAAUUAUAUAAUAUAUAGAUUUAUGUCUUUAUGUCUUACAUUUUAGAAAUUAUAUGUAUCUCCAUGUUCCAAUCGUAUUUAUGUUACAUAGAUCGUGAUUAUGCGUGAUUAAUAAAGUGUUUCUAUGCUACAUACAUCGUGAUUACGCGUGAUUAAUAAAAAAACAUGGCCUUGGUUUUGUUCUGUUUGAUACAGAGAAAUGGUGACACAGUGAGAUGGUGAUACUUUUUAGAUGAUAAAUUAGGCUAUUCUUAAAUGUAAGAAAUCAUGAACCACACACUUGACUAUUUUUGACCUAGACAAGGCUCAUGGGUCGCGGAGUUCAUUCUUGUUGGUUGGUCACCACACCAACCACCUUUCAAAUAAUUAACAACCACAUAGGAUUAUGUUUUUUCCAGUGUCGAUUAAUUAAUAAUAUCUCUUAUCACCCCCACUGUAAACAAUAACUACAACUUUAGUCAACACUUCAAAUUGAUUAAGUUAAUUAAGAUGAUUUUAAAGCUUUCUCAUUUUUUCUUCUUCUUCGAAAAGUGACUAAAUACCAAAAAUUGUUAUGUAUGCUUUCUUACCCAACUUUCAUCUAUAUAUGUGUGGGUUUACGUUUUAGAUAUUUUAUUUUGAGGUUUUCUACUACCAAAAUUUAUAACAGUCAAAUUUUAUUAUUUUCAUAAAUAUGAGACUGAAAAAAUAUGUUUGUCUUUUAUUUACUUUAUAAGAAAAUAACAUUUUCCAGCAAACACUGUUUUUGGGAAAUUAAUUUUAGUCAUGAUUUCUGUUAAAAAAUCCCGUGCUGCAAUGGAGGUGGAAAACUAAAUUUUUAUUUAAAAUAAAUAUUUUCCUACCAAAAAUACUAUGCUAUUUUUAUUGAAUCAUUUAAUGAGGUAAAUUACAUAUUUUAUAAAUUACAUAUAAUUUCAUAAACGUCAAAAUUAUUUAGAAAAAUACAGUUUUAAAGCAUCAUUUCGUCUUUUUAAACUUGUUAUAGGUAUUUUGUCUUUUUAAAUUCCUUAUGUCUGGAGCUAGUGUGUUGUCUAGACCGAAUGAUCGAAAGUUGAAAGGUCGGUAACGAGAUGAAAAAUUAAACAAAAAUGAAUAAAUAAUCAAAUAAUAAAAUAUUGUGGCAAAACCCAUCAAAUAGGUUCAAAUAUGUACAAUAUGUUUAAUAAAUGUAAGGUAUGAAGAGUAAAAAUUCAAUUGGGUCCAAAGUCAAUAAGUGAGUACUAUAAAUAGGUGAUCAACUCAAUAGGUAAGUAAAGUGAAUUUUAUCGGGUAAUUAAGCAAAAUCGAUCUUGACUUUAUUUAUCGGAACCCCUUGCAUACGUUCGAGAGCUAAUUUUGAGCCCACAAGAGUUCAAGUCAAUCCAGUACAACAAGUGAGAAUCUAUAACCUACAUCUAAAUUCAAGCCUAAAUCAACGAAUAAUGUAGUCGAAAGUCCAAACCCAAACCAGUAACUAGUGUAGUCGAAAGCACAAAUCCGAAUCAGGAGACCAUAUGAAGCCGAGAAGUCUUGGGAAAAAAAAAAUUUCUUCUAGGCCUUGUAAGAGCAUUUAGGAAUAUGGUAUUUUUUUAAAAAAAAUACCAUGUGUUAUUUUUAUUGAACCACUUAAUGUGAUAAAAAGAAAAAGAGUUAUGAAAUAGCCUAAAGUGAUUCUAGUGCUGCUUUCCUACCCAACUGGUGAUAAUAUUCCAUUCAUUUAGUGAAUAGAAUUUUGGUAUUUUGGCAUCCAGUUAGAAUAUGACUCCUCAGACUCCAUUCCUAUUAAGCCAUCAUCUUACCAAUCACCUAUCAAUAACUAUUCACCAUUCACAAUUUGUUAGAAUUUUAAAGAUAAUAGUAUUUUAUAAUAUAUAAAUUAAAUACAUAUUUAUUUAUAAGGUAAUUUUAUAAAAUUAAAUUAAAUUUAAAGUUAUUUUUUAAUACAAAUUAAAAUAAAACAUUGGUAAUAGUUUUAGAGAGUUGGUGAAAAAGAUAAUUAUUUAAAAAAUUAAAAUUGUGAAUAAAAUAAGUUUUUUUUCAUUAAUGUAAAAUUUCAAAAAUAUUAAAUACGUUCCUAAAAAGAAUUUACAUCAUUCUCGUUCCUUUAAAUUCCAAACAAAUUUUUAAUAUCCUCUAAAAUUCGAACAUGUUUUUUAAAUAUUUAUUAAUAACAAUCAUAUAAAAAAUAUAUGUAAAUGACUAUCUUAGCCUGAUAUUAUUAUUAAAAAAUAAUUAUAAUAUCCAUAUAUUAAAAAAAUCAUUAACAUCGAUUUUUCAUUUAUCGUUAUCGUUAAUUAUGAUUUAAGAAAAAAUAAAGAAAAUAAUAUAUUUUUUUCAAUGAUGUAUUUAAUAUAUUAAAAUUUUCAUGGACAUGUAGAUAGUAAUUUAUCGUAAAAUUAUUUAAUUAAUAUUUUAAUAUUUGUACUUUUUCUUUUAUCAAAAUAAAAAUUGAAAACAACAUCGUUAGAAUUGAGGAGGGAAUUUGGACGAAGAGGAAUGAGUGAAUUUGUGAGAAUUAAAGAGGAUGUGUAAGGUUAUUUAGAUUGAGAGAUGAUAAAGUCAAAUUGUAAGGACAAUUUAUUGAAAUUUGAGAAUGAGAGGAAAUUUAAAAAUUAUUUUAAAAGUAUAAAAUGUAAGUUUAUAAAUUUAUCUUUAUUUUUAAAAAAUAUUUGAAUAAUAAGUAUGAUUUUUUUUUUAAUGUUUGAGUUAUGAUACAUUUUAUUUUUUAUUAUUUACUUGGAAAAUUUAUUUUCUCUCAAGUCAAACACUCUUCCGAUCUCAAAAGAGAGAGAGACAAAUAUCUUUGAUGUGUUUUGAAUAAAUAAAAUUGAUUUUUUUAUAUUUUAAUAAAGUAACAUACACAUAUUUCAUUUUAUUUAAAAUUUUAAUAUUCACAAAACUUAAUGAAAGAAAUUAAAGUGUUUUAUAAAAAAUUAAAUAGUUUAAUAAAGUGAGAUACAAGUUUUGUUUUAUAAGGAAUAUGUUUUAAAGACUAAUUUUAUUUGAGAUAUUGCAGUUAUUGCUGAUCUCGUGAGUUUUCACUUACAUUAAAAAUUGAACAAAAAAAAUCAGUUAAAAAUUGAAAAAUUGAAUACAAAAUCUCAGUUAAGUAUAUGGUUUAAAACAAUAUAAAAAAAUAAUUUACAACAUAAAUAAUAUUUAAUAUAAAAAAAAUAAACAUAAAAACAGUAAACCCUAGACCCUACAUCAAAAUAAAUACAUAAAACAAUGUAUAUUUUUAAAAAAAACAUCACAUGAUUCUAUCAAAACUUACAUCUAUAAACAAUUUUUUUUUUCAUAUCAAACAGUAAACAUAAAACAAAAAAACUAUAAAAAUUAAUGAACUUAACUGUGAAGACUAGUGUCAAACAGUGAAGAAAAACACCACCACCUCAAUCACAGAACGAGAUCCAACUUGAAACAAGAUAAAAAAAUAAUUACAAUUUUUUCAAACUAAAAAAAGAAAAACAAGACAGCUGUAUACAUUUAAAAGGAAUUCAAUAUCGAGGGAAAUACUUAUAUCCUACUUCUCACCCGGAAACAACUCUCAAAAGAUCUCUACUUCUCACCAUACCAACACUCAAAUGAAUGAAAGCACAACAUGUUCACGGGCUGAAAAAAUUCAAGUCAAAAGAUUCCUCAGUGUAUGGUGCAGUGUGUGUUGCAUUCUUUCGUGCAUGUGUUGCGUUCUUUCGUGCAUUGAUUUCUCACAGUGGUGUCAGUCAUGAGACCAAUUUUAUUUCAUGCAUUCACAGUUGCAAAGUUAUGUUAAGGGUAUUAAGGUAAAAUACUUAUAUCCUACAUGGACAUCUGUGAUCAUCUCUGCAUAUAUAAGAGAAAAGCAGAAUGCAUCUAACUCGCCCGUCUGCACCCUCACCUUCAAACACAACAUCCUUCCACUCGUUCAUUCGCACUGCAACUCCAUCAACUGAUCCAAACACAGUGUUAAUGGAAUAGUUUUUAUACAGUUAAUUUUACCUUAUUAGAUAAGAUAAAUAUAAGUGUGAUGUCACUUAUAUAUUAAUCAUGAGUAUAUUUUAUAAUGGUAUUUAAAAGUGCUAGUUAAAUAAAAUGAUAUUUACAUUAUUUAUGUAUUAUGAGUGGGAUAUAUUUCUAAUGAAAGUAAAAUUUUCUCUAAAAUCAUAAUUAAACACAUUUUCUUAUUUUUUUAAUAAGAAUUGACUUCUACAAAAGAAAAGAAAAAUUAAAUGUGAAAAAUGAUUUCAUUUUCUUAAAUAUUUAUGAUAUACACACAUAGUAUUUUAAAUAUCAUUUUUAAUAUUAAUUUAGUAAAUGAAAUAUUGAUAUUCUUUUCGUUCCUAAUAAUUUUUUAAAAAAUCUUGAAAACUCCUCUUUCAUUUUCUCUUGUAUCAUUUUUUUCUUUUUUACUACUCUAAAAGGCUAUAAUGCUUUUCUUGUUUUUCUUAAGAAGAUUAAAAAAUUAAAGUGUUUAUUUUAUAAAAAUGUAAUAUUCUUAAUUGUGUUUUCUACAAAUUUUUCUGUUAAUAAACAAAUAAAUGCCAUGUCAAACAUGUAGUCAAAAUAAAAAAUCUAACAUAAAAUGAAACAAAACAAAACAUACAAAAACCACACCAAACAUACAUUAAUACUAUUAUUUGAUGGGAUUACUAAUAUUUUUAAAUUAAAAUUUACACUACAAAGAAUAAUGAUUUUAAUACAGGUAAAAAAUAAUCAUAAAUAAAAAAGUGGACAUUAAAACGUGAUUAACGUUUACCUUUCAUUCAUUAAAAAGUUUACAUUUUAUACGUGAAAGCUAUUAAAUCUUCUAUAUCGGUAUAUGUAGGAGACGUAUCGUGAUCAAAUAGAGACAAAUUAUACGAUUAAUAUUUAAUAAUUUAUUAUUUUAUGUACAAAUAGUUAGUCACAAUUAUUCUCUCAUAGAUAUAAAAUAUUUUACUUAUAACACUUCAUAAUUUAUUUAUUUUAUGUUACUUUUUUUUUCACUUCUAUGUACACGGAUAAGGAAAGUUAUUAAUAUUAAUAAAAGGAAAAGCUCAAUUUCUUAUUCCCUUAUGAAAAAAAAUAAAUCCAAAUGACAAGUAGAAAUUCAAAUGAAAAUUAUUCUAGAUCCCAGAAUACAGAAGUAAACAUUUUUUAUGUAACCAUUUAAUUUAUUUGUAAGAAAUAUUUUUUUAUCAGCAUUUGCAAGAAAUUUUCAAAUUCUGAUUCCAUUAAACACAUGAGAAAAAUCGGAAUGCAAAAUAGAAAUUUAUUAAAUACACCCACUAAUUAAAUUAAAUGACCAUUUAGACUAUUACUAUUAUCAUUAAAAUAAAAUAGGUACACACUCAUGAAAAAUAGAUCAUAUAUUCCAAAAUAUAGAAACUACUGUUUGUAUAUAUUAAUACAGUUAUUGAUAUUUUACGUGAUUAUUUUAUAUUAUUAAAGGAUUUCAUAAUGAAAAAAAUACUGUACUGUCAUUAAUUAAAGAAAAUACAUUCCAAUUAUAUCGUUUAAUUAAAUAAAAUAAUAUAAUUAUUUAAAAUAUUUGUAAUACAUUUACAAUUUUAACCUUUGCAGCAAAUACUACAUUAUAUAAUUUAAAAAAAUAUUGUAAUUACAGAAAAUUUAACAUUAUUAAUUAAACAAAUAAAUACUUUUUUAAUAAAUAUAAAUUAAUCAAUAAGAUCUCACGUAUAAGCAGAAAAGAUAAUAUUCUCUAUAAACUCAAAUGUAAAAAAAGAUAAUAUUUAAACUUUUUAAUACUAGUAUUCCUAAAGUAUCUUUUUAUUUAGUUUUAAAUAUUAUUUUCAAUAAAUAUAAAUAAAUAAAUAUAUUUAUUAUAUUAAAUAAAAACUACAUGUUUUAUCCAUAUGAAAAAGAGAAUAAUUUUGCUUACAGUUAGAUGCAAAAACAAUAUUUUAAAUUAAAGAGUAUUUUAAAUUUUAGCAACGAUGACGGUGGGAUCUACCUUUAUCGUACGGAGCUACCGACACCGACACGUUUUCGGUAAGGUUGGUGAGUCACCGGCGGUACCCGGUAAUGGACGAGCUCUCGCUGUAGCAAAUCGCAAUCUCACCGACCCCUUUGAUUUGGGUGUGAAAUCUAACGGCACAACGCCGGUUCCGGUGUCUAGUCAUAUGAGUGACCAUUGAUCACUAUAAAUAGCGAGACAACGUUCUUUCUCUUACCCUCACAACACUAAACCAGUCACUUGCUGUUUGGUUCUGCACUGUGGUGACUCUGGUUUGCUUCCACUCACUGAAUUUCUUUCUUCAGAACCCAUUCUUUCAUUCUUUGGAGGUUCGUUCUUCACGCUUCUUCUCUUCUCAUACGUUUUUUUUUCUUCUAUAAACCCUGUUUUGCUUACCAUCAUAAUUUAUAUAUCUUCCAUUUCCGGAACUGUAAGUAAUGUUUUAUUCCCAAUGUCUUGUCCUUAACUAGACCCUUACGGUUAUGGAUCUGAAUUUUCUUUAUAUUAUUUUCCUUUUCUUCUAUGCUUUUCACUAUUGUAGUUUGAUUAUUUGAAAUGGUAUGGUAUUUCUGUUGCAUUUUGAUCUUUUGUUGUAUAGAUCUGAUGCUUUAACGGGAAUAAUCUGUUCUAACUUAUUCUGUCCGGGUCUAGUUUAUGUGCCUCGUGUGAUACUGUUCAUUUAGUUUUUUCUUUGUUGAACCCUUUAGCGUUCUAAUUUUGUAAUUGAAACUAAUGUUUGAGGUAUAUGCUGUGCUUUAAUGUUUCUUGAAAGGACAAAAGUUAUGUGUAGAUCUUUUGCGCUGUUAUUGGAGUUUCGCUAAUUUAUGAAAUAAAGGGUAAUGGUGAACAUAGAUUACUAAAAUUAAAUUCAAAUUCAGAUUGAAGAACAACGCUAGUAAGUGCAUCUAAAUUUUCUUCUUUCAGAAAUUCAAGAUUCGUUCCAACUUGGUGCCCGGGAAUAUUCGUAUAUACUUUCUUAUCGUUUUGUCUGCAAUUAGUUUUUUAGGACCAUAAGUUUUUUCUGAAAGUAGAUCAGGAUGAACUAUUUUAAUCCAACUUGGCAUAAACUUUGAUGAUUUUCUAUCAAUUUGUUGUAGGGAUUUAUGCUUUAAUUAUUUUAGUUGGAAUAUGAUCUCGAAUCUCAGCUUCCAUUAUAGCACCAACUGAAGUAUUUUUGCUUAAGCAUUUGUACUUUGUAAAACUAAACGUUGUGUUUUCUGCAGCUUGAUAAAUGGCAUCUGAAACCUUUCUAUUCACAUCUGAGUCUGUGAACGAGGGUCACCCAGACAAGCUGUGCGACCAGAUCUCUGAUGCAGUGCUCGACGCGUGCCUUGCACAAGACCCUGACAGCAAGGUUGCCUGCGAAACAUGCACCAAGACAAACAUGGUGAUGGUCUUUGGAGAGAUCACAACCAAGGCCGAAGUAGACUACGAGAAGAUUGUCCGUGAGACAUGCCGCAGCAUUGGAUUCAUCUCUGAUGAUGUUGGUCUUGAUGCUGACAAGUGCAAGGUGUUGGUCAACAUUGAGCAGCAGAGCCCUGAUAUCGCCCAGGGUGUGCACGGCCACUUCACCAAGCGCCCGGAGGAGGUUGGUGCUGGUGACCAGGGUCACAUGUUUGGCUAUGCCACUGACGAAACCCCUGAAUACAUGCCGCUCAGCCAUGUCCUUGCAACCAAACUUGGUGCUCGCCUUACCGAGGUUAGGAAAGAUGGUACCUGCGCUUGGUUGAGGCCAGAUGGUAAAACACAAGUAACUGUUGAGUACAACAAUGACAACGGUGCCAUGGUUCCAAUCCGUGUUCACACUGUUCUAAUUUCCACCCAACAUGAUGAGACUGUGAGCAAUGACCAAAUUGCUGCUGACCUUAAAGAGCAUGUUAUCAAGCCUGUCAUUCCCGAGAAGUACCUUGAUGAGAAGACCAUCUUCCACCUUAACCCAUCGGGUCGGUUCGUGAUUGGUGGCCCCCAUGGUGAUGCUGGUCUCACUGGAAGAAAGAUCAUCAUUGAUACCUACGGUGGCUGGGGUGCUCAUGGUGGUGGUGCCUUUUCAGGCAAGGACCCAACCAAGGUUGACAGAAGUGGUGCCUAUAUUGUGAGGCAGGCUGCAAAGAGCGUUGUGGCAAAUGGGUUUGCCAGAAGGUGCAUUGUCCAAGUUUCUUAUGCCAUCGGUGUCCCUGAGCCCUUGUCAGUCUUUGUUGACACCUAUGGAACCGGAAAGAUUCCUGAUAAGGAGAUUCUUCAGAUUGUGAAGGAGAAUUUCGACUUCAGACCUGGAAUGAUCACCAUUAACUUGGACCUCAAGAGGGGUGGCCACAGGUUCCUGAAGACAGCUGCUUAUGGACACUUCGGAAGGGAUGACCCUGACUUCACAUGGGAAGUGGUGAAGCCACUCAAGUCAGAGAAACCUCAUGCCUAGACGUGUUGUGGACUUAAUCCCUUCUUUAAUGGAUGUCUUGCCAGGUGUUGAUGAAUAAUUUGCGUGUUUCAUUACUGCUACGAUCCUAGGUCUAAUGCCAUUUCCUUAUCAUCAUACCUAAACUGUUUAUUUUUACUUACCAUUUAUUUUUAUGUUAAUGCAGUAUUACUCUCUUGAUGCAAUUAAAUUUUAUCUGAAUUUUGCCCCUAUUGGUUGUAAUUUGAAAGGGUGAAAAAGCCCUUGCAAUGUAUUUUAUCUUUCACAAAAUUGAAAAAUUGCCAAUGUUGUUCUAAAAUUGUUGUAAUCAUUAUUUGGAGCCGAAUAAUCUGCCAGCAAUCUUAAAGUGCCAAUUAAUCUGGUCUUAGUGGUGUUCUUAAUUUUCCGAUUUUUUAUAUCUCAUUUUCAUGCCUGAACUUGUGAAUCAGUUCUCACCAUCCAUUGUUACACCUUAGCUUGAUAUUUUUAGUUUUGGC
rnacentral:lncRNA from 1 species